rnacentral:rRNA from 1 species
UGGGGAAUAUUGGACAAUGGGCGCAAGCCUGAUCCAGCCAUGCCGCGUGAGUGAUGAAGGCCCUAGGGUUGUAAAGCUCUUUCACCGGUGAAGAUAAUGACGGUAACCGGAGAAGAAGCCCCGGCUAACUUCGUGCCAGCAGCCGCGGUAAUACGAAGGGGGCUAGCGUUGUUCGGAAUUACUGGGCGUAAAGCGCACGUAGGCGGAUCGAUCAGUUAGGGGUGAAAUCCCGGGGCUCAACCCCGGAACUGCCUCUAAUACUGUCGAUCUGGAGUUCGAGAGAGGUGAGUGGAAUUCCGAGUGUAGAGGUGAAAUUCGUAGAUAUUCGGAGGAACACCAGUGGCGAAGGCGGCUCACUGGCUCGAUACUGACGCUGAGGUGCGAAAGCGUGGGGAGCAAACA